rnacentral:rRNA from 1 species
CCAAGGAGUCUAACAUGUGCGCGAGUCGUCGAGUCACAAUCGAAACUCGUGAGGCGCAAUGAAAGUAAAGCAGCCCUGAAGAAGGUGUUCUGUGAGGGAAGAUCUCGUCUUUUUUUCAAACCGAAGCGAGCGCAUUCCCAGGGCGUUCGAAGCCGCGACUUAGUCGGCCGGACGAACCUAGAGCGUACACGUUGGGACCCGAAAGAUGGUGACCUAUGCCUGGCCAGGACGAAGCCAGGGGAAACCCUGGUGGAGGUCCGCAGCGAUUCUGACGUGCAAAUCGAUCGUCGGAGUUGGGUAUAGGGGCGAAAGACUAAUCGAACCAUCUAGUAGCUGGUUCCCCCCGA